UCGUCAGCUCGUGUCGUGAGAUGUUGGGUUAAGUCCCGCAACGAGCGCAACCCUUAUCCUCUGUUGCCAGCACUUCGGGUGGGAACUCAGAGGAGACUGCCAGUUAUAAACUGGAGGAAGGCGGGGAUGACGUCAAGUCAUCAUGGCCCUUACGGCCAGGGCUACACACGUGCUACAAUGGGGCGUACAGAGGGAAGCCAAGCCGUGAGGCGGAGCGGAUCUCACAAAGCGUCCCGUAGUUCGGAUUGAAGUCUGCAACUCGGCUUCAUGAAGUUGGAUUCGCUAGUAAUCGCAGAUCAGCCAUGCUGCGGUGAAUACGUUCCCGGGCCUUGUACACACCGCCCGUCAAGCCAUGGGAGUUGGUGGUACCUAAAGAGCGUAACCGCGAGGAGCGUUUAAGGGUAAUGCUAAUAACUGGGGCUAAGUCGUAACAAGGUAACCGUA
rnacentral:rRNA from 1 species